rnacentral:rRNA from 1 species
UACGGGGGGGGCAAGCGUUGUUCGGAAUUACUGGGCGUAAAGGGCUCGUAGGCGGCCAACUAAGUCGGACGUGAAAUCCCCAGGCUCAACCUGGGAACUGCGUCCGAUACUGGAUGGCUUGAAUCCGGGAGAGGGAUGCAGAAUUCCAGGUGUAGCGGUGAAAUGCGUAGAUAUCGGGAGGAAUACCAGUGGCGAAGGCGGCUUCUUGGACCGGUAUUGACGCUGAGGCGCGAAAGCCAGGGGAGCAAACGGG